rnacentral:rRNA from 1 species
GAUGAACGCUAGCUACGGGCUUAACACAUGCAAGUCGAGGGGCAGCAUGGUCUUAGCUUGCUAAGGCCGAUGGCGACCGGCGCACGGGUGAGUAACACGUAUCCAACCUGCCGUCUACUCUUGGACAGCCUUCUGAAAGGAAGAUUAAUACAAGAUGGCAUCAUGAGUCCGCAUGUUCACAUGAUUAAAGGUAUUCCGGUAGACGAUGGGGAUGCGUUCCAUUAGAUAGUAGGCGGGGUAACGGCCCACCUAGUCUUCGAUGGAUAGGGGUUCUGAGAGGAAGGUCCCCCACAUUGGGAACUGAGACACGGUCCAAACUCCUACGGGAGGCAGCAGUGAGGAAUAUUGGUCAAUGGGGGCAACCCUGACGCAGCAACGCCGCGUGAACGAUGAAGGUCUUCGGGAUUGUAAAGUUCUUUUAUUAAGGACGAAGAAGUGACGGUACUU